CGUCCACGGUCCGAAACACUAUUUCGAACGCCAUCGUCGAGUCUGUGAAAGAUGUCCCGAAUCUCAAGCCAGAAAGGAUAGAUCUCGGUAAAAGCUCCAUUUUUCUUAAGGCAAGUAACGCGCAUGACUGUACACUAAUCGAACAACGAAAUAUCGAGGAACGUUCGUUGGCCGUGAUGAUCGAACGCGACAGCUACUCGUCCCGACAGAAACACGAUCCCGAAAUUGUACCGAACCGAGAAAAUACAGGGCGCCGCUUGCAAUCGUUACCAUCUUUACUCCAUGACGCCGGACACCCCGCUUGACUAUCAACGUUUUUCUCACAGUCCAGAGGAUUUUUCACGCGACCGGCCGAUCCACGGUUACGCAUGCCAAUCGCGUGACAGUUUAUUAACAAUGAUAAAAUCGAAUUACCUGCGCGAAAUCUUGCUCGAGAUCGUCGGCGUACAAAUCAAUGUCACCGUCCGCCAUUUUACGUACACCGACGCUCACUGCAUUUGACGAAGCCGCCAAGCCUAAAGGGCUCACGGUCUUGUGUAUAGGAGAAAACGUGUUAGCGAAUUACGUUACGUUUCGACUGCUGAGCGGAUGUGACGUCACUGCGCCAUCUUUCCUCUUGUUUCUGUGAAUUCUGCGUUAAACGACGGGAACACCCUAGAUGUGAAACUCCGGAAGAAGCAGCUUGUACUAACGCAACUGUACGAACUUGCGUACAGUACUGCAGUUUUGCCAAUAGAAAUAGGCGCGAAAUUUAAAUUAUAAAAUACAACAAUUGUUUAUAAAGUAGUAUCUUUUAUAGUUUUAUGGUACUGUAAUGUCAGAACAUUUAAGUUAAUAAAAGAAGGCAUAGUUGUUCAUAA